rnacentral:misc_RNA from 1 species
AUUAUUAAUAAGUCAUAUAAGUUUUUUUGCAUCUCUACGUGUGAUUACAAUGCAUACUGUGUUAAUAGCAGAAAUCAUAGGUUUAAAUCUUAUACCUGGAAAAAAACUGUGUCCAACCUGUCGAAGUAAAGCUAUGACAUGUUUAUCAAAAAGUAUAAGUGAAAAUAAAAAUGAUGAAGAUUUCGAUAUUGUUAAUAAAAGAUCCAUUUAAAAUAAAAAAGAAAGUGUAGAUACACACUUUGCAUCUGCCGGAGUAUCUCCAAUUAGAGUCAAAGGAUUGCAUAAGUCAGGUAAAAUCAGAGAAGGUAAACGAAAAGUGAUAACAUUAACAACCUCCAUUAAAAAAAAGGUAGCCAUUUCCCUUAAUAUAUCAGAAGAAAGUUUUGAAGAACAGUCAAAUUUUAAUAAUGAGUAUAUGGAAAAAGCAAACUUGUUUGAUAACAUGAUGGUAUUGUUAACUAACAAAAUUGCAGAGUCUACAUCAACAUCAAAAAAGUACAACUUGCGACACUUGCUCCAACAGACUGGUCAAUCAAAAAGUUAUCUGAAACAUUGCAUGUAACAAACUUUGUAGCUUGAACUGCACGUAAGUUAACAUUAGAAAAAGGUAUUUUAACCAUGCCUAAUCUUAAAUUAGGAAAAGCUCUUCCUGAUGUAACAUUUCAACUGGUCAAGACCUUUUACGAAGACGAUAAACAUAGCCGUAUAAUGCCUGGUAAAAAGGACCAUGUGAGCAUAAAGAAAAAUGUCUACAUGCAAAAACGUAUGUAAUUUAAUAUCUUAUGUAAUUUAAAGAAAUUGUUUGUUGCCUUUAAAAUCAAGAACCCAGAAAUAAAAAUUUUCAAGGUUUUGCACCUUGCGACCUAAAUGGUGUAUUACUGUUGGUGCCUCAGGAACACAUUCUGUAUGCGUCUGUGCUAUUCAUCAGAAUUUGAAACUGCUUUAACAUCCUCUUGGUAUGACAUACAAAAAAUUGUUACCUUAUAUUGUCUGUGAUAUAACUAAUAAAGACUGUAUGAUGAGGAAAUGUGAAAAAUGCCCAGCAACUAUGAAUGCAUUGGUUGAAAAACUUUAUGAUAUACUUGGAGAAUUUGAAGAUGAUGAUGAGAUUGAAUUUGAUCAAUGGACAACAACAGAUAGGUCAAACUUGACAUAAUAAAGAGCCAGUGUUUGAAUACGUUGAACUAGUAUGUAGAAAACUGGAAAAACUUGCACCACAUUCGUAUUUAGCAAAGAGUCAAGCAUUAUACCUGAAAUCAAGAAAGGAAGAUAUGAAUGAGGUAACAGCAUUAUUUCUGGGUGAUUUUUCAGAAAACUAUAAAUUUGUAGUUCAGGAUGAAGCGCAAAGCUUUCAUUGGACAAAUUUACAAUGUACACUUCAUCCAGUGAUUAUUUAUUUCAAAAAAGGAGGCAUUCUCAAGCACAAAUCCUGUUGUAUUAUUUUGGAUGAUAUGAUCCAUGAUGUGAACAUGGUUUAUAAAAUUAUUGAGGUUGUUUGCAAUGAUAUAAAAACAAAUUUGCCUCAAAUAAAAAAUAUUGAAUACUUUUCAGAUGAGUGUGCAGGUCAAUAAAAGAAUUGCAAAAAUAUGUUAAAUCUUUGUUUCCAUUGUGAAGAUUUUGGUUUUACUGCUAAAUGGAACUUUUUUGCAACUAGUCACGGUAAGCAACCUUGUAAUGAGAGGUGGUACAGUCAAAUUUCUGGCAACACUAGCAAGUUUGCAAAGAGAUAUGGAUAAUCAUUUUUUAUCUCCACAAACAAUGUAUAAAUAUUGCAAUGAAAACAUUGAAGGCAUAAAUUUCAUAUAUAUUUCAUCAGAAGAUUUAACUUUGGUGAGAACCGCUCUCAAUGAACGAUUGGAUACUGCUAACACAAUACCUGGAACACGUAGUUACCAUCAGUUUGUACCACUUGGCCAUCAAAAGAUGGGCACUACGCUAUGCAGUGUUGAUGAAGAAUUUGAUUUAAUUCAUGACUUUGGAAAUAUUCAGAUAACAACUGUAAACCUAGUACCAGGUGAUUAUGCCUGUGUUUCCUAUGAGCAAAAGUGGUGAAUAGGAGUCAUUGAAAAUAUUAAUUUAGAAGAAAAAGAUGUGCUUGUAAAAUUUAUGUGUCCUAAUGGUCCUGCACGGUCGUUUAAAUGGCCACCAAAGGAAAGCCAAUGCUGGAUUCCUGAUGUCCACAUUAUUUGCAAAGUUGAGGUACCGAUAACAAAAACAGGACUUUGCUACUAAUUAGCCAAGGAGGACUUAAAAAAAAUUAUUUUCCUAAGGAAGUAGAGAUUUUUAUAUUUAUGAGUCUAUUAUGUUUUAUCCAUUCUUUUUUUAAAUAUUGUGUUUUGUGAACCAACUUUACGUGAAUGUAAAGCAUAUAUAAAAUCACUAAAGUUUAGUAUUUAAAAAAAAAAAAUUAUAUACGUUUAAA